rnacentral:rRNA from 1 species
GAUGAACGCUGGCGGCGUGCCUAAUACAUGCAAGUCGAGCGAACAGACGAGGAGCUUGCUCCUCUGCCGUUAGCGGCGGACGGGUGAGUAACACGUGGAUAACCUACCUAUAAGACUGGGAUAACUUCGGGAAACCGGAGCUAAUACCGGAUAAUAUAUUGAACCGCAUGGUUCAAUAGUGAAAGACGGUUUUGCUGUCACUUAUAGAUGGAUCCGCGCCGCAUUAGCUAGUUGGUAAGGUAACGGCUUACCAAGGCGACGAUGCGUAGCCGACCUGAGAGGGGGAUAGGCAAAACUGGAACUGAGACACGUUCCGAACUCUAACGGGAGGCAGAGGGAGGGAAACUGCCGAAAUGGGCGAAAGCCUGACGGAGCAACGCCGCGGGAGUGAGGAAGGUCUUCGGUUCGUAAGACUCUGUUAUUAGGGAAGAACAAAUGUGUAAGUAACUAUGCACGUCUGGACGGUACCUAAUCAGAAAGCCGCGGCUAACUACGU